GUUGAACGCUGGCGGCAUGCCUUACACAUGCAAGUCGAACGGCAGCACGGGAGCAAUCCUGGUGGCGAGUGGCGAACGGGUGAGUAAUAUAUCGGAACGUGCCCAGUAGUGGGGGAUAACUGCUCGAAAGAGCAGCUAAUACCGCAUACGACCUGAGGGUGAAAGGGGGGGAUCACAAGACCUCUCGCUAUUGGAGCGGCCGAUAUCAGAUUAGCUAGUUGGUGGGGUAAAGGUCUACCAAGGCAACGAUCUGUAGUUGGUCUGAGAGGACGACCAGCCACACUGGGACUGAGACACGGCCCAGACUCCUACGGGAGGCAGCAGUGGGGAAUUUUGGACAAUGGGCGCAAGCCUGAUCCAGCAAUGCCGCGUGCAGGAAGAAGGCCUUCGGGUUGUAAACUGCUUUUGUCAGGGAAGAAAUCCUCUAGGUUAAUACCCUUGGGGGGAUGACGGUACCUGAAGAAUAAGCACCGGCUAACUACGUGCCAGCCGCCGCUGUAACAC
rnacentral:rRNA from 1 species